GAUGAACGCUGGCGGCGUGCCUAAUACAUGCCAGUCGAGCGAACGGACGAGAAGCUUGCUUCUCUGAUGUUAGCGGCGGACGGGUGAGUAACACGUGGAUAACCUACCUAUAAGACUGGGAUAACUUCGGGAAACCGGAGCUAAUACCGGAUAAUAUUUUGAACCGCAUGGUUCAAAAGUGAAAGACGGUCUUGCUGUCACUUAUAGAUGGAUCCGCGCUGCAUUAGCUAGUUGGUAAGGUAACGGCUUACCAAGGCAACGAUGCAUAGCCGACCUGAGAGGGUGAUCGGCCACACUGGAACUGAGACACGGUCCAGACUCCUACGGGAGGCAGCAGUAGGGAAUCUUCCGCAAUGGGCGAAAGCCUGACGGAGCAAUGCCGCGUGAGUGAUGAAGGUCUUCGGAUCGUAAAACUCUGUUAUUAGGGAAGAACAUAUGUGUAAGUAACUGUGCACAUCUUGACGGUACCUAAUCAGAAAGCCACGGCUAACUACGUG
rnacentral:rRNA from 1 species